GGAGAGGUGUCCGAGUGGUUUAAGGAGCACGAUUGGAAAUCGUGUGUGGGGCCUCAAACCCCACCGAGGGUUCGAAUCCCUCCCUCUCCGCCA
rnacentral:tRNA from 1 species